rnacentral:rRNA from 1 species
GAAAUUAUUCAAGGUUUCUAAUUUAUACAACUUGGUUAUAUAUUUUAAAAUUAUUGAAAUAUUAUGUUUAAAGUAAAUUUUUUGAAUUAAAAUUUAUACAAUAGAGAAUUAGUACUGUAUAGGAAAGGUGAAAUAAUGGAAUAAAAUUAUAUUAUAAUAGUACUAUUUAUUAUGGGUACCUUUUGUAUCAGGAACUAUUAAAAUUGUAUUUAAUAAUAUUUUCUCGAAAAUAAAAGAUCUAAAUAUAAUUUUUAGUUUUUGUAGUAAAAAGAUUAAUUAAUUAUAUUUUGGAGAGAAAUUUUAUUCGAUUUUAUUGUUAUCUAGUAACUUUUAAAAUAAGUUUAGCUUUUUUAUAGGAGAAUUAUUUUUUUACAAAAAUAAAUUUAAAAUAUAAAUUAGUUUUUUUGGGAUGAGCUAAAAAGAUUUUUAGAAAUAAUUAAUUAAGUAAAUUUUUAUUUUAAGCUUGGAAUUAGCUAUAUAAUUUUGUUAUAAAUUAUUAUAAUUAGAAAAGGAUUUAAUAUUAUUCUAAAAUAAAGAAAGUUAUGUAUUGUAAUUUUUUGAAUACAGUAAAAAUGAUAGUAUAAGUAUAUUUUUAUUUUUAGUUGGAAAAGUUGAAUUUAAUCAAUUUUAAUAUAACUUUAAAGUUUUGGAAAAAGAACUAGGCAAUAAUUAUUUUCGAAUGUUUAACAAAAACAUUUCUUUCUAAUUAAGAAGGUAUGACCUGCUCACUGAGGGGUUAAAGAGCCGCAGUAUUUUGACUGUGCUAAGGUAGCAUAAUCAUUUGUCUUUUAAUUGAGGACUGGUAUGAAUGGUUUAACGAGAAAUAGUCUUUUUUUUCUAUAAUAAUUUAAUUUAAAUUUUUAGUGAAAAUGCUAAAAUGAAUCAGAAAGACGAGAAGACCCCUUAGAGUUUUAUAUUAAAUUUGUUUUUAUUUAGUUUAUUUAAAAAAUAGAGAAGGAUAUAAAUAUUUAGUUGGGGCGACAUUAAGAUAAAAUUAACUCUUUUUUUUAUAUACCUAUAUAUAGGAAUUUAAUGAUCCUUUGAAAGAGAUUAAAAGAAAAAAUUACCUAGGGGAUAACAGCGUAAUCUUUUUUAAGAGUUCUAAUCGACAAAAAGGUUUGCGACCUCGAUGUUGGACUAAAAUUAAGGCAUGGUGCAGUAGCUAUGUUUAAAGGUCUGUUCGACCUUUAGAAUUUUACAUGAUCUGAGUUCAGACCGGCGUGAGCCAGGUUGGUUUCUAUCUUUUGAUAAAAGGAUUUUAACUUAGUACGAAAGGAUUGGUUAAAAGUAAUAGUUAUAAUAAUAUAGAAUAUUAUUAAUUUUAUAUAAAUUUGGCAGAAGAAUGUAUUAGAUUUAGAAUCUAAAGAUAAGAAUU